CCCUUAGAUGUUCUGGGCCGCACGCGCGCUACACUGACGAAGUCAGCGAGCAUGUCCUACGCCGACAGGUGCGGGGAAUCUUGUCAAACUUCGUCGUGAUGGGGAUUGAUUAUUGAAAUUCUUGAUCAUCAACGAGGAAUUCCUAGUAAGCGCAAGUCAGCAGCUUGCGUUGAUUACGUCCCUGCCCUUUGUACACACCGCCCGUCGCACCUACCGAUUGAAUGGUCCGGUGAAAUCUUCGGAUUGAGACUUUGAUUUCUUCACGGAAAACGCUGUUUUAAGAAGUUGAUUAAACCUUACCAUUUAGAGGAAGGUGAAGUCGUAACA
rnacentral:rRNA from 1 species